UACUAGAGUAGCACUCGCAUAUCAAUAAGCGGAGGAAAAGAAACUAACAAGGAUUCCCCUAGUAACGGCGAGUGAAGCGGGAAGAGCUCAAAUUUGAAAUCUUAAAGGGUUUCCCUUUACGAAUUGUAGUUUAAAGAAGUGUUUUCUGUUGAGGUUUUGGUAAAAGUUCUUUGGAAUAGGACAUCAUAGAGGGUGAGAAUCCCGUAUUUGACCUUUACUUUCAACUUUGUGAUACACUUUCAAAGAGUCGGAUUGUUUGGGAAUGCAGUCCAAAAUGGGUGGUAAAUUUCAUCUAAAGCUAAAUAUUGGCGAGAGACCGAUAGCGAACAAGUACCGUGAGGGAAAGAUGAAGAGAACUUUGAAAAGAGAGUUAAACAGUACGUGAAAUUGUCAAAAGGGAAGCGUUUGACACCAGUGUUGUUUUUCUGAAAAUCAAUUAAAGAGCUGUUUAUGCUAAGCUGUUUAGACUUUAUCAGCUAACUGUUUAGUUUUGAGCUUUUCUUUAAUGCACUUUUCAGUUAACAAGUCAACAUCAAUUUCUUUUGCUGUAAAAAAGCUUGAGGAAGGUGGCUUGAGAUUCGUCUUAAGUGUUUAUAGCCUCUUGCCUAUGCAGUCGGAGAGAUUGAGGUCUGCAGCGUAGAUCCUUCGGGGCUAAAUGCAUUUGUGCUAAGUUAUAGCAUUUUAUAGACAACUUGUUGACUAUGAUUUGUCUUGUAGCUUACUCGCUUAUGUUAUUUUACCUACGCUUAGGAUGUUGAAGACUCUACAGAGAU
rnacentral:rRNA from 1 species